rnacentral:lncRNA from 1 species
GCUAGGGUUCCUGGCGAGGGGUCAGCGGCUAGCUAGAGCCUUUUUGGACGUGUACUAGACGACCUCCUUCAGUUUAUGUAGUUUAGUACAGAGAUGUAUAUUAAGUUAUUGUAAAUUGUACUUUGUUCUUAUGUACUGUAUUAAGGUUUGGAUUGUAUAAGUUUAAAAGUCGUGCUCUGAUUAUCUGGUUAAUAUUAUAUGUUUUUUACUAUAUGGUUUGUAGACGCCUUGUGUAUACUUGAGUUGUGGUGUACACGGCGGGUCUGUGCACGAGAC